AGGGACUGUACCUCAGUGGUGGAGCAUCUGCUUGGCAUGCAGACGUUCUCAGGUUUGAUGCCUGGCAUCUCUA
rnacentral:tRNA from 1 species